rnacentral:rRNA from 1 species
GAGUUUGAUCGUGGCUCAGGACGAACGCUGGCGGCGUGCUUAACACAUGCAAGUCACGGGGGCUCGCAAGAGCAACCGGCGAACGGGUGCGUAACACGUGAGCAAUUUGCCGAUUUCUGGGGGAUAGCCGGCCCAACGGCCGGGUAAUACCGCAUACGCUUCAGGAGAGGAGUCUCUUUUGAAGGAAACCUCUGGGGGAAAUCGAGGAGCUCGCGGCCUAUCAGCUAGUUGGCGAGGUAAUGGCUCACCAAGGCGACGACGGGUAGCUGGUCUGAGAGGAUGGCCAGCCACAUUGGGACUGAGAGACGGCCCAGACUCCUACGGGAGGCAGCAGUGGGGAAUCUUGCGCAAUGGCCGAAAGGCUGACGCAGCGACGCCGCGUGUGGGAUGACGCCUUUCGGGGUGUAAACCACUGUUGCCCGGGACGAAACGCCUUUUUCGUAGAGGCUUGGCGGUACCGGGUGAGGAAGCACCGGCUAACUCCGUGCCAGCCGCCGCGGUAAU